rnacentral:rRNA from 1 species
GAGGACCCUUGGCGGCGCGCCUAACACAUGCAAGUCGAACGAGCGAGAGAGAGCUUGCUUUCUCGAGCGAGUGGCGAACGGGUGAGUAACGCGUGAGGAACCUGCCUCAAAGAGGGGGACAACAGUUGGAAACGACUGCUAAUACCGCAUAAGCCCACGACCCGGCAUCGGGUAGAGGGAAAAGGAGCAAUCCGCUUUGAGAUGGCCUCGCGUCCGAUUAGCUAGUUGGUGAGGUAAUGGCCCACCAAGGCGACGAUCGGUAGCCGGACUGAGAGGUUGAACGGCCACAUUGGGACUGAGACACGGCCCACACUCCUACGGGAGGCAGCAGUGGGGAAUAUUGCACAAUGGGGGAAACCCUGAUGCAGCGACGCCGCGUGGAGGAAGAAGGUCUUCGGAUUGUAAACUCCUGUUGUUGAGGAAGAUAAUGACGGUACUCAACAAGGAAGUGACGGCUAACUACGUGCCAGCAGCCGCGGGUAAAACGUAGGUCACAAGCGUUGUCCGGAAUUACUGGGUGUAAAGGGAGCGCAGGCGGGAAGACAAGUUGGAAGUGAAAUCCAUGGGCUCAACCCAUGAACUGCUUUCAAAACUGUUUUUCCUGAGUAGUGCAGAGGUAGGCGGAAUUCCCGGUGUAGCGGUGGAAUGCGUAGAUAUCGGGAGGAACACCAGUGGCGAAGGCGGCCUACUGGGCACCAACUGACGCUGAGGCUCGAAAGUGUGGGUAGCAAACAAGAUUAGAUACCCUGGUAGUCCACACUGUAAACGAUGAUUACUGGGUGUGGAGGGAUUGACCCCUUCAGUGCCCGCAGUUAACACAAUAAGUAAUCCACCUGGGGAGUACGACCGCAAGGUGAAAACUCAAAGGAAUUGACGGGGGCCCGCACAAGCAGUGGAGUAUGUGGUUUAAUUCGACGCAACGCGAAGAACCUUACCAAGUCUUGACAUCCUGCGACGCACAUAGAAAUAUGUGUUUCCUUCGGGACGCAGAGACAGGUGGUGCAUGGUUGUCGUCAGCUCGUGUCGUGAGAUGUUUGGGUUAAGUCCCGCAACGAGCGCAACCCUUAUGGUCAGUUACUACGCAAGAGGACUCUGGCCAGACUGCCGUUGACAAAACGGAGGAAGGUGGGGAUGACGUCAAAUCAUCAUGCCCUUUAUGACUUGGGCUACACACGUACUACAAUGGCGUUAAACAAAGAGAAGCAAGACCGCGAGGUGGAGCAAAACUCAGAAACAACGUCCCAGUUCGGACUGCAGGCUGCAACUCGCCUGCACGAAGUCGGAAUUGCUAGUAAUCGCAGAUCAGCAUGCUGCGGUGAAUACGUUCCCGGGCCUUGCAAUAGCCGCCCGUC